UUUGAAUCUUGAUAAAGAAAAUAAAAAGAUGCGAGCGAAUAGCGUGCAUUUGUUAAAAAUAAUAAAUUGAAUAAUAGUUCCAAGUGGUUUAUAUUUGGACAAAAAAUUAGACCGUAGUUUCAAGCUGC
rnacentral:sRNA from 21 species